UAGAGUUUGAUCCUGGCUCAGGAUGAACGCUGGCGGCGUGCCUAAUACAUGCAAGUCGAGCGAACAGAUAAGGAGCUUGCUCCUUUGACGUUAGCGGCGGACGGGUGAGUAACACGUGGAUAACCUACCUAUAAGACUGGGAUAACUUCGGGAAACCGGAGCUAAUACCGGAUAACAUAUUGAACCGCAUGGUUCAAUAGUGAAAGGCGGCUUUGCUGUCACUUAUAGAUGGAUCCGCGCCGUAUUAGCUAGUUGGUAAGGUAACGGCUUACCAAGGCAACGAUACGUAGCCGACCUGAGAGGGUGAUCGGCCACACUGGAACUGAGACACGGUCCAGACUCCUACGGGAGGCAGCAGUAGGGAAUCUUCCGCAAUGGGCGAAAGCCUGACGGAGCAACGCCGCGUGAGUGAUGAAGGUCUUCGGAUCGUAAAACUCUGUUAUCCAGGGAAGAACAAAUGUGUAAGUAACUGUGCACAUUCUGAUCG
rnacentral:rRNA from 1 species